UCUCUCUAAACUCUCGAAACCUUUCUCUCUAAGCUCCGGGAACUCCCAACCCCUCUUCUCCUCGAAUCAACAACAAAUCAAGCCCAAAUAUAUAUAUAUUUGGAAUCCUUGAGACUUAACGAACUCAAUGGUACCCUUGCAUGCGCCAUCAGAGCAUCGUGGAGUUUUCUUCCAUUGAAGCCGAGAGCUUCAAAGCUCUAAAACUCGAACCAGGUGAGAAGUGUGUUCCUUCUUCAAAUUUCUGGAUUAUGCAUGUUGGUUUUAUGACAAAACUCAAGGGUUUUGAUCUCAGUUUUUCCCUAUGCUAAUAAUCUAGCUCCGACGAUGAACUCCGGCGAGUUCGAGGUCCAUCUCUUCCCAAAACCUGCUGCAGUGCGUCCAGGUGAGUUCUUAGGUAUAUUUGUGAGGUUUUAGAACCCUUUAUUCAAGCCCUAACCCUUACCAUCCUUUGUGCAUGCAUGUCCGGUUCCGACGACGAACUCCGGCGAGUUCGUGGGUGUGUGUGUGUGUACGGGGUGCAGGUGUGCGUGUUUGUGUGCAGGUGUG
rnacentral:lncRNA from 1 species